rnacentral:rRNA from 1 species
AGUGGAUGGGGAGCAACCUAGUUGUGCGUGUGUAAAGGUAGUGCCAAGAAAAGCGAUGAUCAUGUUGAAAAUCAAUUCCCGGUACCCGAAACCGACACAGGUGGGCAAGUAGAGAAUACUAAGGGGCGCGAGGUAACUCUCUCCAAGGAACUCGGCAAAAUGACCCCGUAACUUAGGGAGAAGGGGUGCCACCGAGAGGUGGUCGCAGUGAAGAGGCCCAGGCGACUGUUUAGCAAAAACAUAGGUCUCUGCAAACUCGAAAGAGGAGGUAUAGGGGCUGACGCCUGCCCAGUGCCGGAAGGUUAAAGAAGUUGGUCAGUCUUAGGAUGAAGCUAGCGACUGGAGCCCCGGUGAACGGCGGCCGUAACUAUAACGGUCCUAAGGUAGCGAAAUUCCUUGUCGGGUAAGUUCCGACCCGCACGAAAGGCGUAACGAUCUGGGCGCUGCCUCGGAGAGAGGCUCGGCGAAAUAGGAUUGUCUGUGAAGAUACGGACUACCUGCAUUUGGACAGAAAGACCCUAUGAAGCUUCACUAUAGCUUGGAAUUGUGUUCGGGCUUCCUGUGCGCAGGAUAGGUGGGAGGCGUAGAAGGUAUUCUUGUGGGGAUACUGGAGCCAACGGUGAGAUACCACUCUCAGGAGGCUAGAAUUCUAACUUAAUUAAGGACAGUUUCAGGUGGGUAGUUUGACUGGGGCGGUCGCCUCCAAAAAGGUAACGGAGGCGUACAAAGGUUCCCUCAGACUGGUUGGAAAUCAGUCGAAGAGUGCAAAGGCAGAAGGGAGCUUGACUGCGAGAAGUACAGUUCGAGCAGGGUGGAAACACGGUCUUAGUGAUCCGACGGUGCUGUGUGGAAGGGCCGUCGCUCAACGGAUAAAAGUUACUCUAGGAUAACAGGCUGAUCUCCCCCAAGAGUUCACAUCGACGGGGAGGUUUGGCACCUCGAUGUCGGCUCAUCGCAACCUGGGGCGGAAGUACGUCCCAAGGGUUGGGCUGUUCGCCCAUUAAAGCGGUACGUGAGCUGGGUUCAGAACGUCGUGAGACAGUUCGGUCCAUAUCCGAUGUAGGCGUGAGAAUAUUGAGAGGAGCCUUCCUUAGUACGAGAGGACCGGGAAGGACGCACCGCUGGUGUACCUGUUAUGAUGCCAAUUGUAAACGCAGGGUAGCCAAGUGCGGAGAGAAUAACCGCUGAAAGCAUCUAAGUGGGAAGCCCACCUCAAGAUGAGUAUUCUGGUGUAAGGUCACGGGAAGACGACCCGUAAAUAGGCACGAGGUGGAAGUGCAGAGAUGUAUGAAGCCGAAGUGUACUAAUAGACCGUCGGCUUGACU